UUGUUCAGUCCUGUUCAUAGCAAUUUCGGGCUAUUAAAGUUGUUAUGAAUUCUAAGAUUUUUGUCGCUGUCGUCAUUGGUCAUCCCACCAAGACCCAAUCAUGAACAUGAAUUCGCUUUCGUCAUUGGUCAUUGGUCAUCCCACCAACACCCAAUCAUGAUGCCUGCAUAGUCCGCGAUGUAGUGAGGUCCGUCUAUUUAUUGUAGCCGGACCAUCUCAAUAAAAUUAUUGGUGU
rnacentral:lncRNA from 1 species